AUUGAACGCUGGCGGCAGGCCUAACACAUGCAAGUCGAGCGGAGCGGCGGACGGGUGAGUAAUGCCUAUGUAUCUGCCUGGUCGUGGGGGAUAAAGUCCGGAAACGGGCGCUAAUACCGCAUACUCUCAGACGAGCCUCGGUCGGAUUAGCUAGUUGGUGGGGGAAAGGCAUACCAAGGCGACGAUCCGUAACUGGUCUGAGAGGAUGAUCAGUCACACUGGAACUGAGACACGGUCCAGACUCCUACGGGAGGCAGCAGUGGGGAAUAUUGGACAAUGGGCGAAAGCCUGAUGCAGCCAUGCCGCGUGUGUGAAGAAGGUCUUCGGAUUGUAAAGCACUUUAAGUUGGGAGGCGUUACCAACAGAAUAAGCACCGGCUAACUUCGUGCCAGCAGCCGCGGUAAUUC
rnacentral:rRNA from 1 species